rnacentral:rRNA from 1 species
UAUGCGAUUUACAAUAUGGCAUUUUCUGCUCAAUGAUUUUUAAAUAGUUGCAGUACUCUGACUGUGCAAAGGUUGCAUAAUAAUUUGGCUUAUAAUUGAAGUCUAGCGUGAAUGAAUACAUGGGGAGUAACUCUAUCAAUAAUGGUUAAUGAAAUUAUUAAGUAAGUGCAAAUACGUAUAGUUAAAUAAAAGACGAGAAGACCCUAGAAAUUUUUAUUAAUUUUUAAAAAGACGUUUUUGCUGGGGCGACAUAGUAACAUUUUAAACUUACAUUAUAUAACUAGACGUUUUUUCCGGAAGAAUAAAUUACUCUAGGGAUAACAGCAUAAUUUAAUAUAAUUUGUGACCUUGAUGUUGGAUAAGGAAAUUGAAGUUCAAAAGAUUUAAAUUUUGAUCUGUUCGAGCAAUAAUAUCCUACAUGAUCUGA